GCUGCCACAUACGACUAUACCCACUGGGAUCCCGUCCGCUCUCCCCUAGUCAAACCAGUAAGGGCCUGGGUUUAGUACUUUCGGCGGGUCUGGAAGCAGUUGGGAAUCGCGCAUCCCCGUUGGCUGCU